GACGAACGCUGGCGGCGUGCUUAACACAUGCAAGUCGAACGGUAAGGCCCUUCGGGGUACACGAGUGGCGAACGGGUGAGUAACACGUGGGUGAUCUGCCCUGCACUUCGGGAUAAGCCUGGGAAACUGGGUCUAAUACCGGAUAGGACCAUGGACUUCACGGUUUGUGGUGGAAAGCUUUUGCGGUGUGGGAUGGGCCCGCGGCCUAUCAGCUUGUUGGUGGGGUAAUGGCCUACCAAGGCGACGACGGGUAGCCGGCCUGAGAGGGUGUCCGGCCACACUGGGACUGAGAUACGGCCCAGACUCCUACGGGAGGCAGCAGUGGGGAAUAUUGCACAAUGGGCGCAAGCCUGAUGCAGCGACGCCGCGUGAGGGACGACGGCCUUCGGUGUAACC
rnacentral:rRNA from 1 species